rnacentral:tRNA from 1 species
GCCGGGCUAGCUCAGUUGGUAGAGCGCCAGACUCAUAAAGCCUCCAGCAUGAGAAAUCUGGAGGUCGGGGGAUCAUGCCCCCCGCCCGGCA